GACGAACGCUGGCGGCGUGCCUAAUACAUGCAAGUCGAGCGCAGGAAAUCGACGGAACCCUUCGGGGGGAAGUCGACGGAAUGAGCGGCGGACGGGUGAGUAACACGUAAAGAACCUGCCCUCAGGUCUGGGAUAACCACGAGAAAUCGGGGCUAAUACCGGAUGGGUCAUCGGAGCGCAUGGCCCGAGGAUGAAAGGCGCUUCGGCGCCGCCUGGGGAUGGACUCGCGGUGCAUUAGCUAGUUGGUGGGGUAAUGGCCCACCAAGGCGACGAUGCAUAGCCGACCUGAGAGGGUGAUCGGCCACACUGGGACUGAGACACGGCCCAGACUCCUACGGGAGGCAGCAGUAGGGAAUCUUCCACAAUGGACGAAAGUCUGAUGGAGCAACGCCGCGUGAACGAUGAAGGCCUUCGGGUCGUAAAGUUCUGUUGUAAGGGAAGAACAAGUGCCGCAGGCAAUGGCGGCACCUUGACGGUACCUUGCGAGAAAGCCACGGCUAACUACGUGCCAGCCGCCGCAGUAA
rnacentral:rRNA from 1 species